GCCUACCCGUAGCUUAGUGGUCAGAGCACUCGCCUCGAAAGUGAGAGAGCCUGAGUUUGAUUCUCAGGUGGGGCG